rnacentral:rRNA from 1 species
UACGGAAGGCAGCAGUGGGGAAUAUUGCACAAUGGGCGCAAGCCUGAUGCAGCCAUGCCGCGUGUAUGAAGAAGGCCUUCGGGUUGUAAAGUACUUUCAGUCGUGAGGAAGGUGUUAAGGUUAAUAACCUUAGCAAUUGACGUUAGCGACAGAAGAAGCACCGGCUAACUCCGUGCCAGCAGCCGCGGUAAUACGGAGGGUGCGAGCGUUAAUCGGAAUUACUGGGCGUAAAGGGCACGCAGGCGGUUAAUUAAGUUGGAUGUGAAAUCCCCGGGCUUAACCUGGGAAUGGCAUUCAAGACUGGUUAGCUAGAGUCUUGUAGAGGGGGUAGAAUUCCAUGUGUAGCGGUGAAAUGCGUAGAGAUGUGGAGGAAUACCGGUGGCGAAGGCGGCCCCUGGACAAAGACUGACGCUCAUGUGCGAAGCGUGGGGAGCAAACAGGAUUAGAUACC